CCUCGGCCUUCGGGUUGUAGCCUUUAUCUCUUCCACGCCUCUUCCGAGUCGCUAAUCACUUUGUUGGACUUUCCAUCCAUCGUGAUCGUCAAACAAAAACGCUGUUCCUUUCACAACCAAUCUACAUAAAGAAAAUUCUCCAGCGCUUCAACAUGGCCAACUGUCGUCCAAGAAACCUUCCAGCGGAGCCAGGUCACCAUCUGCAUAGAAAUGCAGAAAAAGGAAGACAAGAAGAGGCGAUGCCCUAUAGAGAAGCUGUUGGCUCUCUCAUGUAUCUAAUAAUGGCAACCAGGCCCGACAUUUCUUUCUCUGUAGGGCAAGUUUCACAAUUCUGUGAGGAUCCAGAGCCGAGCCACUGGGAAGCAGUGAAGCGAAAUUUGUCCUAUCUUCAAGAUACUUCAAGCCAUGGCAUUCCUUUUGGUCAAGGGACGGACGGACUCAAAGGCUUCACAGACUCCGACUACGCUGGAGAUGUCGUCUCCCGCCGCUCCACGACGGGUUUUAUUUUCCUUCCUCACGGAGGACCUGUCGGCUGGAGCAGUCGUCGCCAGUCAUCCGUCGCCCUCUCAAAAACCGAGUCGGAGUUCGUGGCCGCUUGUGAAGCAGCACGAGAAGGAGUCUGGCUUCAGCGCCUUUUAGUGGACAUAAAUCUUGGAUCGGAAAGGCCGCUCCGCAUCAUGUGUGACAAUCAGUCAGCUAUCCAGCUGAUAAGGUGUUUCAUCAGAGAACGAAACACAUAGAUGUCCGUUUCCACUACGUACGUGAGCUUCAGGAGAAAGGAGAUAUCAACGUAAUCUAUGUGUCAACUGACAAUCAGCUUGCAGAUCCGUUCACCAAGCCUUUGCCUAAUCCUCGAUUCUCAAUUCUGCGGGAGUUGGCUGGAAUUGUUCCAGUCCCGACUGAUCCCAACUAGUUUUUCUUCUAAUCCAAGAGGGGCAAGAACACUGUCAACAACAAAUAUAUAUUUUUUUUUCUUUUGGUUGUUAUGUUACAUGUGAUAAAGUUUUUUUUUUGUUUGGAUUCUGUUUUGGUUAUGUUUGAGGGGAGUGUUGAGAUUUUCAACAAACACGACCUUCACCGAGUGACCGCCAGAUCUAUGCGAAGAAAGGGAGGCAGGUCCUCGGCCUUCGGGUUGUAGCCUUUAUCUCUUCCUCAAUUCUUUUUCUUUUCUUCUGCUUCUGACCACGCUUAGUGAAUGGACACGAAGAGUUCGUUUAUUCUCUCUACAGAAAUAUCUGAUUGUUCUUUUUGAUUAAGUGUGCUUCAUUCCAUCUUCAACACCGGUAAUUAUUGUAAACUACUAUCUUAUAGUUUGUCAUGGCACAUCAUAUAUAUAUGUAAGUAUUGCUGCAUUGUGGAAACGUUAUCGUUUCACAAUUCUCUGUCUUUCCUGAUCAUCACGUGUGGACGUUGUGGUCACACGUUUAUCGUUAAUUCUAUGUAUGUGUGUAAAAGUGCCAUGAACAGUUUAUUCUCUUUUGCCUGGUCAUGCCAGAAACUCCACAAGUUGGAAUGAUUCAUUACAUACCCUGUGUUAAAAUCAAUACAGAAGCCUCGUUAACAGUGACAAAUCCUUGUAUAAUUUAAACAUUUACCACCAUUGAUUUUGCCAGAAGUUCUUGGACCCAUCUGCAAGAGAUGCGAAAGAAACACCUCAUCACUGUACGAUACGAAAAAGGGAUUGUGUCCUAGAUGUUUUAAUAAAGAUUCUUUGUUGAAUCCAGCUUCUCAAAUACCCAGUUAUUUGUACUUUGGUAAAGAAGAAAAGAGAGAAAGUUUAACCCUGGUCUUCACUUGUACACGACAUUCCGGAGGUGAUAAUUUCUCAAACGAAGAAAAAACUUUUAAAACUCUGGAAAUGUCAUGCAGACAAUCUCAAAGAAGUGACGGCCCAUUUGGAAUAGUUAACCGUCCUGGUUAUCCAACGACAAUUAAAUUUGUAGGAAGAUUUAGUGCACGAAACGCAUGCGCAAUGUCUCCUAUAUCGGAAAUGUCGGAUAUUAGGGGCACACAUAAAUGUGAUAUUCAACCACUUUGUUCCUUGCCAGAUCAUAUGAUCGGUAACUGCUUCCCGGGUGAUAUAGCAGUGAUUCUUGUUUCACAACCUGCUAGCCUAACUAUCGCUCCCUAAUAUAUGGCAACUUUUUUGUCUGAAAUAAUGUUGCGUGGCAUACCGGAAGACAGCUUCUACAUUUUGAUUAAAGUCUAUUUCACAACCCACUUUUUACUAUACUUUCUACUUUUAUUUUACUUAAUUCCUCAUUAUUUUCUAUAGAAACUGGUAGUUUAACUUCAAAAUACAUAAUUUAUUAUAUUAUACUUUUUUAUUAUACUUUUUACUUUACUUAAUGGCACAACUCCUCGGAUGAACACACACGCAUGAAGUUUGGUAUUGUACUGGUUGCAAAAAAAAAUUUAAGAACGUUGCAAAAUUAAUGCAACAUUGCCAUUUAGUACAAUAUUGAUUACAGUGAUAUAGACUAUUAAUGCUAUCCGAAAAUAACAACUCGUAUCCCAACGAUAUAGUCUUGGAUUAGUGAUCUAGAGGUUUGUGGUUCGGGCCUGCCUCAAACUUGAAACAAUAGGAUUUUAUUUUGUUAAUGGAGCAAAGUAAAAUAUCAUUAGUUUAAUAUCGGACUGUAGUUAAGUAACACUUAAAGAUUGCCAUAUGCUGCUCAAGUCUUUUUUUAUUUUUUGUAUGGAGGGAGACCCC